rnacentral:tRNA from 1 species
GCAGCGACGUCCGAGUGCUUAAGGAGAUUGACUAGAAAUCAAUUGGGCUCUGCCCGCGCAGGCUUGAAUCCUGCUCGCUGCA